UGGGGAAUAUUGGACAAUGGGGGCAACCCUGAUCCAGCAAUGCCGCGUGAGUGAUGAAGGCCUUCGGGUUGUAAAGCUCUUUUGGCGGGGACGAUGAUGACGGUACCCGCAGAAUAAGCCCCGGCUAACUCCGUGCCAGCAGCCGCGGUAAUACGGAGGGGGCUAGCGUUGUUCGGAAUGACUGGGCGUAAAGCGCGCGUAGGCGGAUCAUCAAGUCGGGGGUGAAAUCCCGGGGCUCAACCCCGGAACGGCCUUCGAGACUGGUGGUCUUGAGUUCGAGAGAGGUGGGUGGAAUUCCGAGUGUAGAGGUGAAAUUCGUAGAUAUUCGGAGGAACACCAGUGGCGAAGGCGGCCCACUGGCUCGACACUGACGCUGAGGCGCGAAAGCGUGGGGAGCAAA
rnacentral:rRNA from 1 species